rnacentral:rRNA from 1 species
UACGUAGGGUGCAAGCGUUUAAUCGGAAUUACUGGGCGUAAAGCGUGCGCAGGCGGUUUUGUAAGUCUGUCGUGAAAGCCCUGGGCUUAACCUGGGAAUUGCAGUCGAUACUACUCAGCUAGAGUAUGGGAGAGGGUAGUGGAAUUCCUGGUGUAGCGGUGGAAUGCGCAGAUAUCAGGAGGAACACCGAUGGCGAAGGCAGAUCUCUGGGCCGUAACUGACGCUGGAGGAGCGAAAGCCGUGGGGAGCGAACAGG